rnacentral:rRNA from 1 species
GGACGAACGCUGGCGGCGUGCUUAACACAUGCAAGUCGAACGGAAAGGCUCCAGCUUGCUGGCGUACUCGAGUGGCGAACGGGUGAGUAACACGUGGGUAAUCUGCCCUGCACUCUGGGAUAAGCCUGGGAAACUGGGUCUAAUACUGGAUAUGACCUUUCUCCUUAUGGGGUUUGGUGGAAAGUUUUUCGGUGUAGGAUGAGCCCGCGGCCUAUCAGCUUGUUGGUGGGGUGAUGGCCUACCAAGGCGACGACGGGUAGCCGGCCUGAGAGGGUGAUCGGCCACAUUGGGACUGAGAUACGGCCCAGACUCCUACGGGAGGCAGCAGUGGGGAAUAUUGCACAAUGGGCGGAAGCCUGAUGCAGCGACGCCGCGUGAGGGAUGACGGCCUUCGGGUUGUAAACCUCUUUCAGCAGGGACGAAGCGUAAGUGACGGUACCUGCAGAAGAAGCACCGGCUAACUAUGUG